rnacentral:misc_RNA from 1 species
GAAAUCUUCAAAGUAAACCUUUUGUUAAUUCAAUUGGUCUUUUUUACUUUGGUUUUGGAGGAUCUUAUUGCAGCUUCACACCUGCUCCUCUUUGUGCAUUAGCUGGAUCUCAGUGUUAUGCUUGGUUCCACUCGGCGUGAUAAGUUAUCUAUCGCUGAGGACACCCGUAAAAAAGGUGGCCAAGGUAAAUGCAGAUGAACCGCUUCUAAUAGUCCAUUGACUUGGACAAUAUUCUAUUUUAUGAUCUGAUCUCAAAUCAGGUAGGACUACCCGCUGAACUUAA